UCUUCCCUCUGGCGGCGUGCCUAAUACAUGCAAGUCGAGCGAACGGACGAGAAGCUUGCUUCUCUGAUGUUAGCGGCGGACGGGUGAGUAACACGUGGAUAACCUACCUAUAAGACUGGGAUAACUUCUGGAAACCGGAGCUAAUACCGGAUAAUAUUUUGAACCGCAUGGUUCAAAAGUAAAAGACGGUCUUGCUGUCACUUAUAGAUGGAUCCGCGCUGCAUUAGCUAGUUGGUAAGGUAACGGCUUACCAAGGCAACGAUGCAUAGCCGACCUGAGAGGGUGAUCGGCCACACUGGAACUGAGACACGGUCCAGACUCCUACGGGAGGCAGCAGUAGGGAAUCUUCCGCAAUGGGCGAAAGCCUGACGGAGCAACGCCGCGUGAGUGAUGAAGGUCUUCGGAUCGUAAAACUCUGUUAUUAGGGAAGAACAUAUGUGUAAGUAACUGUGCACAUCUUGACGGUACCUAAUCAGAAAGCCACGGCUAACUACGUG
rnacentral:rRNA from 1 species